rnacentral:rRNA from 1 species
GACGAACGCUGGCGGCGUGCUUAACACAUGCAAGUCGAACGGUCGUAGCAAUACGGCAGUGGCGGACGGGUGAGUAACACGUGAGCAAUCUGCCUCAUACAGGGGGAUAACACUGAGAAAUCAGUGCUAAUACCGCAUAAGACCACAGGUCCGCAUGGACUAGGGGUAAAAGGUUAAUUCUGGUAUGAGAUGAGCUCGCGUCCCAUUAGGUAGUUGGUGAGGUAACGGCCCACCAAGCCUGCGAUGGGUAGCCGACCUGAGAGGGUGAACGGCCACACUGGAACUGAGAUACGGUCCAGACUCCUACGGGAGGCAGCAGUGGGGAAUAUUGGGCAAUGGAGGCAACUCUGACCCAGCAACGCCGCGUGAGUGAAGAAGGUCUUCGGAUUGUAAAGCUCUGUGGAUAGGGAUGAAAAAAUAGACAGUACCUAUAAAGACAAGCCACGGCAAACUAACGUGCCAGCAGCC